GGGUUGUGAGGUUAAGCGACUAAGCGUACACGGUGGAUGCCCUGGCAGUCAGAGGCGAUGAAGGACGUGCUAAUCUGCGAUAAGCGUCGGUGAGGUGAUAUGAACCGUUAUAACCGGCGAUUUCCGAAUGGGGAAACCCAGUGUGUUUCGACACACUAUCAUUAACUGAAUCCAUAGGUUAAUGAGGCGAACCGGGGGAACUGAAACAUCUAAGUACCCCGAGGAAAAGAAAUCAACCGAGAUUCCCCCAGUAGCGGCGAGCGAACGGGGAGGAGCCCAGAGCCUGAAUCAGUGUGUGUGUUAGUGGAAGCGUCUGGAAAGGCGUGCGAUACAGGGUGACAGCCCCGUACACAAAAAUGCACAUAUUGUGAGCUCGAUGAGUAGGGCGGGACACGUGGUAUCCUGUCUGAAUAUGGGGGGACCAUCCUCCAAGGCUAAAUACUCCUGACUGACCGAUAGUGAACCAGUACCGUGAGGGAAAGGCGAAAAGAACCCCGGCGAGGGGAGUGAAAAAGAACCUGAAACCGUGUACGUACAAGCAGUGGGAGCCUCUUAAUGGGGUGACUGCGUACCUUUUGUAUAAUGGGUCAGCGACUUAUAUUCUGUAGCAAGGUUAACCGAAUAGGGGAGCCGAAGGGAAACCGAGUCUUAACUGGGCGUUAAGUUGCAGGGUAUAGACCCGAAACCCGGUGAUCUAGCCAUGGGCAGGUUGAAGGUUGGGUAACACUAACUGGAGGACCGAACCGACUAAUGUUGAAAAAUUAGCGGAUGACUUGUGGCUGGGGGUGAAAGGCCAAUCAAACCGGGAGAUAGCUGGUUCUCCCCGAAAGCUAUUUAGGUAGCGCCUCGUGAAUUCAUCUCCGGGGGUAGAGCACUGUUUCGGCAAGGGGGUCAUCCCGACUUACCAACCCGAUGCAAACUGCGAAUACCGGAGAAUGUUAUCACGGGAGACACACGGCGGGUGCUAACGUCCGUCGUGAAGAGGGAAACAACCCAGACCGCCAGCUAAGGUCCCAAAGUCAUGGUUAAGUGGGAAACGAUGUGGGAAGGCCCAGACAGCCAGGAUGUUGGCUUAGAAGCAGCCAUCAUUUAAAGAAAGCGUAAUAGCUCACUGGUCGAGUCGGCCUGCGCGGAAGAUGUAACGGGGCUAAACCAUGCACCGAAGCUGCGGCAGCGACACUAUGUGUUGUUGGGUAGGGGAGCGUUCUGUAAGCCU
rnacentral:rRNA from 1 species